GUUCUCGUGGUGUAAAAAACAUAAGACAUUUUCGCUGUCUAGUUGAAGAAAUUUCUUUCGAGAGCU
rnacentral:tRNA from 1 species